UACAGAGGGGGCAAGCGUUGUUCGGAAUUACUGGGCGUAAAGGGCGCGUAGGCGGCCAGCACAAGUCAGUUGUGAAAUCUCCGAGCUUAACUCGGAAAGGUCAACUGAUACUGUGCGGCUAGAGUGCAGAAGGGGCAACUGGAAUUCUUGGUGUAGCGGUGAAAUGCGUAGAUAUCUGGAGGAACACCGGUGGCGAAGGCGGCAUCCUGGACCAAUACUGACACUGAGGAGCGAAAGCCAGGGGAGCAAACGGG
rnacentral:rRNA from 1 species